GUGAGGAAUUUUCCGCAAUGGGCGAAAGCCUGACGGAGCAAUGCCGCGUGAAGGAUGAAGGCCUAUGGGUUGUAAACUUCUUUUCUCAGAAAAGAAUUAUGACGGUAUCUGAGGAAUAAGCAUCGGCUAACUCUGUGCCAGCAGCCGCGGUAAGACAGAGGAUGCAAGCGCUAUCCGGAAUGAUUGGGCGUAAAGCGUCUGUAGGUUGUUUAAAAAGUAUUCUGUCAAAGAUUAGGGCUUAACCCUAGAUAGGCAGAAUAAACUUUUAAGCUAGAGUUUGGUAGAGGCAGAGGGAAUUCCCGGUGGAGCGGUGAAAUGCGUAGAUAUCGGGAGGAACACCAAAGGCGAAGGCACUCUGCUGGGCCAAUACUAACACUGAGAGACGAAAGCGAGGGGAGCAAAUGGGAUUAGAAACCCCAGUAGUCC
rnacentral:rRNA from 1 species